AUACUUACCUGGCAGGGGAGACACCAUGAUCACGAAGGUGGUUUUCGCAGGGCGAGGCUCACCCAUUGCACUCCGGAUGUGCUGACCCUGCGACUUCCCCAAAUGUGGGAAACCCGACUGCAUAAUUUGUGGUAGGGGGGGACUGCAUUCGUGCUCUCCCUGU
rnacentral:snRNA from 1 species